GGAUGAACGCUGGCGGCGUGCCUAAUACAUGCAAGUCGAGCGAACGGACGAGAAGCUUGCUUCUCUGAUGUUAGCGGCGGACGGGUGAGUAACACGUGGAUAACCUACCUAUAAGACUGGGAUAACUUCGGGAAACCGGAGCUAAUACCGGAUAAUAUUUUGAACCGCAUGGUUCAAAAGUAAAAGACGGUCUUGCUGUCACUUAUAGAUGGAUCCGCGCUGCAUUAGCUAGUUGGUAAGGUAACGGCUUACCAAUGCAACGAUGCAUAGCCGACCUGAGAGGGUGAUCGGCCACACUGGAACUGAGACACGGUCCAGACUCCUACGGGAGGCAGCAGUAGGGAAUCUUCCGCAAUGGGCGAAAGCCUGACGGAGCAACGCCGCGUGAGUGAUGAAGGUCUUCGGAUCGUAAAACUCUGUUAUUAGGGAAGAACAUAUGUGUAAGUAACUGUGCACAUCUUGACGGUACCUAAUCAGAAAGCCACGGCUAACUACGUG
rnacentral:rRNA from 1 species